UUACGUGUUUGGCAAACUCAUUGAAAAAUGGGGACGCAAAACCAUGGGUCUAAGACAAAAAUGUUAUGGCUGCCAGGUUGCAAAU
rfam:Sporomusa sp. An4 isolate Sporomusa ovata strain An4 genome assembly, contig: SPAN4DRAFT_scaffold-9